AUACGGAGGUUGCAAGCGUUAUUCGGAAUCACUGGGCGUAAAGGACGCGUAGGCGGGUUGGCAAGUCAGAUGUGAAAUCCUACAGCUUAACUGUAGAACUGCAUUUGAAACUGCUAACCUAGAGUAUGGGAGGGGGAGAUGGAAUUAGUGGUGUAGGGGUAAAAUCCGUAGAUAUCACUAGGAAUACCGAAAGCGAAGGCGAUCUCCUGAAACAUAACUGACGCUAAGGCGUGAAAGCGUGGGGAGCAAACAGGAUUAGAUACCCUAGUAGUCC
rnacentral:rRNA from 1 species